AUACGGAAGGUCCGGGCGUUAUCCGGAUUUAUUGGGUUUAAAGGGAGCGCAGGCGGAGAUGCAAGCGUGACGUCAAAUUUCGGGGCUCAACCCCGUCUCGCGUCGCGAACUGCGUCCCUUGGUUGCGGGAAGGGGAGGCGGAACUCGUGGUGUAGCGGUGAAAUGCAUAGAUAUCACGAAGAACUCCGAUCGCGAAGGCAGCCUUCCGGCCCGUCAACGACGCUCAUGCUCGAAGGUGCGGGUAUCAAACAGGAUUAGAUACCCUGGUAGUCCGCACAGUAAACGAUGGACACCCGCGGUUUGGCCUAUAUGGCUGAGCCGCCAAGCGAAAGCGUUAAGUGUCCCACCUGGGGAGUACGCCGGCAACGGUAAAACUCAAAGGAAUUGACGGGG
rnacentral:rRNA from 1 species